rnacentral:lncRNA from 1 species
CCAAGAAGAACAGGGUCAUCCAUGCUGGGACCUGGAAGGAGACAUCACCGCAGCCCCACUGAGCCAGCCUCUUUGGAAGCGCAGCUCCGCCACGUGCAUUGCAACACACAGCUGGGGGCAGAUUGUCGGAAAGUCAUUCUUCAGAAUAAUCCAUGCACUGUCUUCCAUGGACCUGAAGGUCUUCAGCUGAGAUCACCCUUGCCCAUCCGGGCCCCUGAGUGAGUCCUGCAAGGUCCCACUUGUCCAGGACGGAGGUUCAGAUCCUCAUUUAAGGAGAUUCCUGGAGCCUCCCUAGUGCUGAGAAAUGAGAUCCCGGGGCCUGAGCUGGAUGGGGAAGGAUGAAACAAAGGAAGGCUAACCAGCUCUUGGAAAUCAAGAAAUGUUGAAGUUUUGUCAGCAUCCAGGAGGGGGAAGAGAUGAGAGGCUAGACGACCAGACCAGCAGGAGAUGGCACAGCAGUCUAGAAGAGCAUCUGAGAAGAGCAUGGGG